CCAGAUAUUAAUUUGAGUAAAGUAGUAAAGGAUUUUUUCCAGUGAUGUCUUUCGACCCAGAGCAGUGUACUCACCUUCAUCUUCCCAGCUCCCAGCUCCCAUCUCCAUCUCUCGAACAAACUCGGAUCGGUCGGCAUUAGUUCAAAGCUUUGUUACACGAUAUCGCUAUAUCGCUGUGUAGGCAAACCAAACAACAAAAAUCAACCAUUGGAAUGUGGAAUGUGGUAUUCAUUGACAAAAUCAGCUUUCAAAAUGAUCUCACUUGUAUGAAAAACAGUCAAACCAAAUCGAAAACCGGUUUCGUAGUCAAAUCAUUGAAGUUACAAACGUUUUUCGUUCGUUUUCCGUUUUUCCUCUUUUGACCAUGGUCUUUAUACACAUUAACAUCUGUGCGUUUUUCACGCACGUGCCUGGCUCAAAUUUAAUAACUAUAAUUACAAUGUAUGUCAAGUCGACCGAAAUUAUAUGCUGCCAGUUAACACUUUAAACGAGAGACAAGAUAAAAGCGAGGAAAAAAACUCAGAGAUCUACAAGAAGCGAGAAUAAAAAUACCUUGGGUAGCCUAAAUAUUUUCACACGCGCCGCGAGUGAAAAAAUGAUCUUAAGGUUUUAGUCUUUUUUUGUUUAACAAAAAUAGCACACAAUUAGUGGCGCUGAGUUUCUUCUCUUUUUGGGGGAACUGUAAAAUGCUUUAGAGUUAUCAAACUGGGGAUUACAUACCUUAAUAAAUAGUUUCUGCGCAGGCGCGCCCGUAUUUCUGUUCAUGUAUUGGUGUGUGGAAUGCUUAACAACAACAAAAACACAAUCUCCAUUUAACAAUCAUUAAUUUAGACGUCGUUCCAGCGAGAAAGAGAUGGAAGCGUGCGAAGGGAACGGUGGCGUUGCUCCCUCGAUGAUCACACGCUGCUGGGAAUGGCCUGGAAUCUGGAAUGGGGAACGGGAAUGGGAGUGAGCAUGGAAGCUGUGUGGGAAAGUAUGCCGCGCAGUCGCCGUCGCUGAAAUAAACAAGACCAAAAGCAGAAACAACAACAAAAUUAGGUCAACAUUUUUUCAUUCACUCUUUUUUUUGUUUGUUGCUGCCUUAUUUCGACAUACAUAUUUUGUGUGUUUAAGUUUUUAGGUAUUUUUUUUAUUAACACAAACUUUCUAUUGAGCGGGGAAUAGUUUUUGUUUUUUUUCCUGUUUAUUUUUUCUUCUUUUUUUCACUCUUUGCAGCCACACACGAACUCAGCAGACCGUAGCAUUAACCGUUAGUUUUUUAUAGCACAUUUUAUGGCAAUCCGACGGGCGGAACUUGACAAUACAAAUAUCAUUUUUAAUUGACAUUUAUGAUGUGGUAUAAAAACGCUGAGUUUGUUGCCCUGCAACUCUUUUGUUUUUCGAUAGUAAGAUUGGUGGGUUAGUGAAAAUGAGGCGGUAGAGAUUAAUUUUCCCAUCGAUAGCCUAUCGAUAUUCCAGUUAAAGGGUUCAGUUUUUCUGCUGACUACGGUUUCCACGAAGGGGGUGCAUACGAUGAACUGCAAAAUAAACGGUAUCACUAAGAGCAGUAAGAACAAACCAAGCACACUGUUAAAAAAUAUUAGUUUUCUUAAAAGAUCACGUAAAUUAAAUUUAUGGUAUUAUGUUAACAGGAUAUAUGUUUCAUUAACUAAAGAUUGGAACUAUUUUAGUUUAAUUGUAUUGAGGAGCUUUUAAGUUUCUCUUCAUUUAAUACAACUUCAGAUCUUUCAAGUUUGGAAGCAAGCGUACUAAUUUUGAUAUUUUCUUUAGCUUAUUUUUAUGAAUAGUUUCUCUUUUAAUUAUUUUUUAAAAAUAAUAUUGUUGAUAAUUUUAAAAGCUCUUUUAAAUACAAUUUUUUGUGACUCAGUAUGCUUGUACUUCAGCUUAUUGAUAAUAUAUAAAGUAUUACAACCGUUUUCAAAGGAUAUUAUUAUCGUGUCCUAACUUAAACUUCUUGUAAAUAUUUCAUUUUACGUCUUACUGAAAUUUGUUUCUAAAUCAACUAACGAAUCCUUUUUUAAGGAUAUGAUUUAUGAUAUUUGCUCUAUACAAAAAUUAUAUUUAAUUUCUUCCCCUUUUUUUUCGAAGUGAUUGCUGCUCCCUUUUCCCUUUGUUGGUGUGUUCUUGUGUCGCUCCUUUCGCUCCGCAAAACGGUUCUUCUGCCCCUCUUACUUCUCUUUCCGCGACUAUUGCCGUCUCGCCUGUCUGGCAGCCGCGGUUGACUUGUUGUUUGUGUCUCCGUCUCUCCUUCUCUUCGCCUUCUUUUUGUGCUGAGUGAUGCAACUUUUAUGACUGUUCCCGUUUCUGUUCCCAUAUUCCCGUUCUCACUACUGCUCCGAGCCAGAGCGAAGGUUAGGAUCGUUGAGAAGAAACUGGUCUCGAAAACCCACGCUCAAAUCGCAUGACUCACGCUCGAAAAAUUUCAAUUUGAAUUUCUAAAUAACACACAUAUACACAUACACAGCAUCCAAUUUCAGCCAAUAAACGAGGUUGGGUGUGUGAGUGUGUGUGAAUUCCGACUUACGAGUGUUCCCAUCGAAGGUAAGUUUUUUUUUUUUCGGGUUUUGGGAUGUCAAUGGAACCGCGAUCGGCCGACGUCAAACAGUCUAAAAACAAAAAAAACCAGUUUUGAAGACAUAUUUGCUGCUGCUGCUUCUUCUUCUUUCUGCAUUCCACACACAAAUACACUGGCACACUGAGUUCGAGUUCGAGUUUAGUUUUUCCACUUUCCCCUCCUUCCAGCGUUAUUUGAACUUUUGGAAUGCGGUUGUGUUUGCUCUUGGAACUCCUUGGAAACUGCUCUUCAUUGGAACCGUCUUCCCAGGGUUUUUUUUAGUUGGUUAAGUUAAGGGUUUUUUAUGUGUUUAAAUAUGCCAGUUAAAUAUUGACUGUUCACACUUUGGCAAUUUUCGUUCGGUUUUUUUUAUUGCGCGAAGAGCAGACGAGAGCUGCACGACCAUGCGGCUGCAGCUACAAAAAUUUACUGAAUGAAUAUUUUCUUUUCUUUUGCGCCGAUCUUUCGUCUUGGCGUUGGAAUUCGCAGCCGGCAGAGGCCGAAGCAGCGGCGGCGGCAGAGGCACGGGCGUCGACUGCGGCAGAGGCAGCGACUUCGAAAAAAGUUGUACCUUUCGAAAGUCGUUUUCGUGUGUGUGUGUGUAUCUGCUGGAUCUGCGCUGUAUCUGUGUGCUAGAAAGUUUCGAUACCGAACUAUGUUUGAAGUCGCAUGCAUAAGAAACUUACAAAACGGCAUUCCACAAACAAACUGACACUGCCCCUUCCAGACCGCCCUGCCCCCUUGCCCCACCCCCUUGCAGACCGUCUUCAGCCUUCCAAGCCGGCGAGAAAAGUAUCUGUAUCUGUACAUAUGUAUCUGUGCUACUUUUGCAUUUUGUCACCACAUCAAUGUAUAGCGCCCUCUCGCUCUCGCCCCCGAAAUUCUUCAGCCUCCUCUUCUUCUUGCCUUUUCCUAUAUGUUGUAAUCUACGGAACAAUAAAAAAUGUUGUGUGGCUUUCGUAAGUGUCUUUUUUGGAAUUUUUUUUCGUGUGUUUGUAGCUGGUGGCGUUCUUUUUUUUCGUUUUUCGUAAACAACACACACACUGGAAAAUUCGUCAUUGAACGGUAAAAAACAAAAAUUCCAACGUGUUUGACUUUGUCUCUAGACAAUCUAGCUAUCUCGCUCGAGUGUGUGGAUUUUUUCAAUUACAAGUUUGUAAAUGGAAUUUCUGAACUUUAUGUGAACGAGGUCAUUUACAACACACAAGCACACACACACACACACUUAUAAAGAAGGGCGCGGGGCUAAGGUUGUUUAGGGAAUUUUUGUUAUAUUCGUCAUGAACUUAUUUAUAGGAAAUUCCUUAGGCUUUACUUGUUAUUUAUGGCUGCAGAUCGCAGGGGGGAUAUUAUAUUAGGUCUAUAAAGCGGGGGAGUGUCGGUCGGCCGACAUGCAUAUCAAAUGCCCAUUGGGACAAUCCCCAGUUGCCUCGGAAAUAUCACGAAAACGGAACUGAAUUAGCUCCAAGUGAUCGAGGGAUUUUCAGCGGUCUAGUUCAGACAGAAAAACGAAGGUAUUUCUAGGAUAAAAUAAGUUAAAUCACUUCGAAAAAAUAUUAAUUAAAAAUACGUAACUAUGGUUGGGAAUAAAACACGGUUUAAAACUAAAAAGAUAACAAAUACAUUUUUUUAGCCUACAUAAUACUACAUUUCUUUUGAAAAAUACAUGACCUAACAAAAUGUAUUUCGUCCCGCUUACUUCCUAUCGAAAUGCCACCGAUGACGUUUUCUUCUAUAAAUACAGCAAAUGAUUCAGAUUCCUUUCCACCUUUCGUUUGAUUAGCAAUUCCUUGAAUUGAACCUGCGGGCGCCAGGCGUAUUUGUAAUCGGCCGCUAUCAAUCCAAUCAAUCCACCCAACUGUCCCGUAUCAAUGCAAUCCACUGACGAGCUUUCGUGGCCCCCGUUUCGUAGCGCCCACUCCAGUAACCAGUACCCAGUAACCAGUAACCAGUAACUCAGUGGCUGGACGAUGGUCUGAGUGAUAAGGUUUUCGGGGCGGCUACUUGACGCAAGAAUUUCUGGAAUUUCGAAAGUGUACACACACCUGUGUCCGCGGGAGUGGGGAGUCAACCUUUUGAAAAAAGGCCCAGACACAAAGCACGCGCUCAAUCUACGGCUUAUCAAAAGGCCCACGAUAGGCCCAUUUAAAGGCCAAACUAUAAAUGACAUGUGAUGCCAUGGCGACAAACAUACCAAGGGUACGUAAAACGUUUAAGUUUGAGUCACAUGGCUGACACUUAACCGGCCAAGAAAGAGAGCGCCCCAAACGGAAAUUGUAAUUUCUGUUUCUUUCUUCUGGAAAAAGAAAAAUCCAACAGCAAAAACAAAAAUAAAAUCAACAACGGGGCAACGGAGAUUUCCCAAUCAAAAGCCUUUUGGACUUUCAACUGUUUGUACUAUUUACAACAUCAACAGAGCAACGUCAAGACCAUAAAAAUAAUUAAUACACCUUAUCAGCAGGGCCGCGCAGAGGGGAGGGAGUUGGGGGGUUAAGGGGGGCAUGGGUAUGGCAUACCACUUGAAGCCACCUAUGACGUGGAGGCAUUGGCAUUACUGUUUGUAUUUUUACCCGGUGUGUGUUGCAUGGUCAACGAUCGUACGGUAGAUCCGAUCCGAUUCGAUGGCAAAGAAUUCCCCCUUUCGGUGUAAUUACUUUUGGUUUGGUCGAGUCGAAAGUCGGCCCGAACCGAACCUAAUGAUAAUACCCGCGAUCUAAUAGGGAGCACGUGAUGCGCAUACAGCCCACCGAUCAUUAAGAAGCAGCGGUGCACUUCGAAAAACCCCCGGCUCUGAAUCAUAUAUAUAAUCUGCAAAGCUACUGUUUGAAUUCACAAUAUCUGUCAUUUUUCAGUUGACAAAAAAGAGGAUAACCAUUUCUGCGGCUUUUUCCUUUGCACCAAGAUAUUUUAUAUCUUUUGAAAACUUCCCAAUUCAAUACCACAUUUUCUCCGAGUGCACCUGUGGGAGGCGGAAUGGAAUGGAAUCGGAAUCGAGCUGUAGACCACAGACUAGAGACCAGACCCCUGGCUAGACAAAUUGCACAUAAUUUCUACUCGAGUGAGCGCGGUCAGCCGGCAAAAAGUGCACCGAACCUGCCCAAAACAACGGCACCGGGAUGGAUGGUAAUGCGGACUUGGAUGGAGGGAAAGAUAUGGCCGGGGGCUAUAUAGUACUGCUACCACUCGGGUUGGUUAGACGUCGGAAAAAAGACGUCGUCGACGCCGCACCGGGAGGAUCCCAGCCAUUUCAUGAAAAAUUAUGUCGUGUACAAUUUUAUGCAUGAGAGACUUGCACAGCAGCAAAAACUGGGCAGCGAAAAAACUUGGCAAAAUUAACAGUGGCUCGUCAGUUGCAGUUGCAUUUGCACGGUGGUGCCGUUGGUGGUGCAGUCGGUGGUGCAGUGGCCGCCAGGUUGGAGAUAAGCCGCUGACGCUGACGCCGCUGCAAAUGGGCACACGCACACUCGAGAGCCAUCAACUGCAACUGCAACUGCCACUGCAAUUGCAAUGAGGAGCUACCGUGGGGCAUGAAUAUUGGGAAAAGCUGGGCUGCAAGUGUGGCUCUUGGACUUCAACAUAUAAGUGUUUUUGUAAAGAAAAGACAGGAUUUAUAUAACAGAUUUAUGGAGGAUAAUUAAGAAGCCAGAAAAGGCAAGACUUGAAGUGGAUAAACAGUUGGAAACAAUAUAAAUAAAAUUGUAUUUAUUAUAAAGAAAUAAAAAGAGAUAAUUGAGUCAUUAAUAAAAUUAACAUAGGAUCAAAAAUUUAAACAAUGCUUUUAAAUUUGUCCAUUGCCAAUUGAUUUUGCUCCACUUUGCCCAGAAAACGAAGGCUGUCGGCAUGUUGCAUUAGCAUACAAGUGUUGGGCAGCGCCAUAAAGUCGCACAAUUGAAAGAAGAAAAAAAUAGCGGCAGUAGUGACAACAAUUGGCCCGCUAACGAACCGACCGACGGACGCCGCCCCACCCACCAUUCCACCCGUCCACCAGUCCCCAUUUCCCUCCUGAAUGAACCCGAUGAUAAUGAUGCGCAGGAGGAUGAGGGGCAGGAACCGGAGCAGGAGUGGAUAUGGAUAUGGAAAUGGAAGUGGAAGAAAGCGCAGUCGAGCGUCUUGCAUCUUGCCACGCCACCCCGACCCAAAUUCCAGUUGGAUGCACUGGCCACCGCCAGCCUUUGUAUCCGUAGUUUCCGUAGUAUCUGUAUCUGUAUCUAUGUCUGUGUCUAUGACCAACCGCUAAUAGCUUUAGAAGCGAAAAAUGAAUGGUUUUAUAGUUAGUAUAAGCUAGUUGUACUGGAAAAGAAUGCUGAUAAAUCUAUGUUUUAAUUUGUUUUUUAAAUAAGGUAAGACUUAAUUUAAAACUAGUUUUCUUUUCUUAAAAAUAUAUUUGGGAUUAUUAUUGUUGACCUUUCAGACAAGACAAGACUAUGACAAGGUGCUAAGGAAAAAUCUUUCUGGAAACCUGGGAGAUGCGAUAUUUAGCCAAAUAAAGAAUAGUUAUGAAAAGCCAUAAAAUCCAUGUGAACUGGGAAACCCAAGAGUGGAACUAGCUAGAAAGUAUCACACCCUCUUUUCUGUUUAGCACGAACAGCACAUACCCUGUUCUAUGGCAUUCCACAGAAGGCGGAUGCAGAAAAACGUGGGGCGACCAAGAGCUCUCUCUUCUCUUGGUUGGCAUAAUAAUAGCACAUUCCUCGGCUAACAAACUGGCUGCAAUCGGAUGUGGAUGUGGAUGUGGCCAAGUAGGAGUCGCCGUCGCCGUCGUCGUCAUCGUCGUCGUUGGAGUUUGGAAUCUGCUCCAAAUGUGGGCGUCGCUGGGGCACUACUACAAAAUACCCUAGCCCCUCCUGCCCCUAUUCGCGUGGCCCCCGCUGUCAACGCAUGAUUUGCUUCCCGCUUGCAUGUCCGGAUCUGAUGUAUUAAUGACAUUUGGCCCAGUUUCGGUGCCUCCGCCAUGUAAAAUGCAGCGUGGGGGGAUCAGGGAUGGGGGGACUGCGACUGCGACUGCGAAUGGAGGAGGCUCAUUCAUAUUCAUAAAUUUAACGUCUUUUUACGUAAGCCUCGCAACGGAAGUAGUGCCCCUCCCACAAUCGCCACUUUCUGAGACCCAUUCAUUCGCCCUUUUUCGCAGCCAAAGCCAAAGCAGCCAGACAAUGUGCCGCUCUAUUUUCGAUGCAUUCCCAGCCAGAAAAAGUCAGACACACACAAAACGACAGAGACGGCAAUAGGGAGUGCGAAAGAGACGGGGCAGGGGGGCAGUAGCUAAAGUUCAAAGCACUAUUGAACUCGGGGGCCCAACAAAAACAAACUCCACCAAACACUUUCGCCAUAAAUAGCCGCAAGUGGAAGCGGGACAGGAGGCAUGGGUUUUAUCAACGGAAGCCAAAGUGGGGAUAUAUAUAGAGGAUAUAUGGCGGGGGGAUAGGGGGAUGGGGGGUUGGCUGGGGGCCUGAAGAAGUGAAAACAAAAGUGACUAAUGCGAGUGUGCGAGCAUUUCCGCUCACUUCCGGUGCGUACAAAUGAGGAAGUGCUGCCAACUGCAUUUUUGGAGUGGCCAACAAACAAGCACACAGAAAGAAAAACUGGUAUCAUAUAAAACAGCGAUAAAUGUUACGGUUUUACCUAUAGUUUUGUAACCAAUUGGAAAUGUAAAAGACGUCGCACAUAAAUUAAUACGUCUUUAAAGAACAAAAUUUAUGUUGUGUUAGGUUGCAUUACAAGUUGAUAAAAACAAAAAAAUGUAUUUUAGAAACAGAAGCUUGAAUCAAAAAUAAUGAAACGAAGAAAUCAUUUGGAUAUUGUUUUCUCAAUGAAAUGUAAUGAAAAAUUUAAAAACAUUUUUUUCCGUGCAAAAUGGGGAGGGGUAAGGGAAGAAGCAGCAGCUGAAGGGCCUUAGUAGGCAGAAGACUCGGCUGCUGAUGAACAAGAAGUUCCGAACGCCGGAGCUAUAAAUAAAACCCAAGCCAAAAGCCGCCAGGCCGGAAAUAAUGUGACCAAAACCAAACUGACGAACCAAAUACGAGGUUGCAUGUGUGGGUGGGUGCAUGUGUGUUCGUGUGUGGGUGAGAUAGUGUGAGAGCGAGAGUGUGUGGACCUCGUUCAUUCAUAACUGUAUGAGGUAUAUAAUCACAGUUGUGGGCAAACUAGUAGUGAAUAGUAGUGAAUGGGGAAGUAACAAACUAGAUACGACUUAAUAUAUAACUAUCAAAGUAAUUAAAAGUAAAAUCUAUAUCACAAAAAUAUAUUAAUUGUUGUUACUUUAUCAAUAAGAUAUAAAAUCCAAAUCAAUUUAAUCAGUUACUUAAACUUUUGUAACUGAAUUUCUUCUGCAGUGAACAACCUUUACUUUUCAGUUCAAAGUAGUGCCACAUUAUAUUUAAUUUUUGGGUUACAGUCCAAGUAAUAUCCCCUACCGGAAAUAGGUAUAAUUGAGCUUUUAUUAUUAUUUUAUUACCACAAUGUUGAACUCGAACCUAUAAUGUAAAUAAUCGAAAUCAGCACACAAAGGCGCAUUGAGUUGGGAAGUGAUUCUCUGCUAUGUUCGGGGCGAUUGCGACAGUUUCAGAGUUUCAGAGCUCCCCCAUCCCCGGAUCAACGAUCGUAUUGAAUGGCUGACCCAUAACAAACAACGACAAACGACAGAGAUAAGGAUCCGUUCCGAACUUAUCAGUCAGUGCUCAAUGAAAUUUCAUUGAAAUUUGGAACGAAUCUAUAAAAUGCAUCGAAGCAAGCAUGGAGGGGUGGAGAAAUGAGGAAAUUGUGGAAAUGGAGACUGGAAACGGGAACCACGGUUUGAUUUUUGUCACAGAUAGCCCAAGAACACUGCAAGAAAUAGUAUUAUCUAUUAAAAACCACUCAGACUAACUAGAAUAUUCUGUUAAGUUCAUAACCUAUGAGUAAAUUUCUUCAUGUAAUAGUAUUUCUUUGAACUGAAAUGUAGGUUAAUGACUCAGAUUUAAAUAUAGCACAGACUUUUUAAUGACUAACAAUUAUUUAUAAAUAAUGAUUUAUUAAUCAUCCUUAUUAUUCAUCAUUUCAAAAAUAGCUGCUAAGUAGGCAACAAUAUUUAAAUUAAAGUGCAAUAUGAUAAUGCGUUGGUGUAAAAGUCUUAUUGAAUUAAGCUACACAUAGCAAUAACCUGAAAGUUGAUAACUAUAUUCAAUGUUUUUAAAUCUGACCCAAUUUACUUUAAUUUCUGAUAGUGAGAUGUCAAAAAUAAUGUGUUUUUUUCAGUGCAACAACGGCAGCAACAUAAACGCAUUUGUAGUUGCUGCUGCUGUUGUUGUUGUUGGAGCGAUGAAACGAAACGUCGACGUAGGCAGCGGCAGCGGCAGAGGCAGAGACCGUGGCAGAGGCGUGGGAGGAGGGUCGGUGAACAAGGGGCAUGGUGAGGGGGCGGUUGUUGUUGCUGCUGCAUGAAUUUAUGAAUGGAUGAAAUCGUAUUUGUGUGUGCGUGCCGUGGCAAUCGCCGCAUUUGUGAGAGUGUGUGUGCUGCGCUCGCAUUUAAUGAAUGAAAAUCGCAGACAGCGACCAAAACCUAAUAAACACAUGCACCCACACACACUCGCACUCACACUCACUCACACCCACACACUCACAUACACCCAUUAUAGUAGUAACGGAAGUAAACCGAACAACAACAAACACAACUAACUCAUUCAAGUCCAAAUGCGAGUGUCUAAAUAAGUCGCUUGAAUGCCCGCUUGAUUAUCAGCUACUUGCCCGGAUUAUAUAGGAUUUGAUAUGGCACAUGGUAUAUAGUAGAAUACUCAGCCACUUGAGCACCUCCUAUUUGUCUGAAUUGUCCUGAAUGAGUGAUAGUUAGGAUCUAUGUUACUCGAAAUAUGAAAACUUAACAAUUUGAAACUAUGAAAGGGUUUUUUGAUUAUGAAAUUUACAAUUUUUAUACAUUUUUUUACAAUUCGGAUUGGCUUUAUAAAUAUAUACUUGCAAAAUAUCUCUCCUCUGUUUAUGCAUUUUAAUAUCUACGCUUUUAAAAAGUUUAGAUACUGCUACUCAAGAUACUUAAACUUAUUUCUGUUUGUGGGAUGUUUGUUCUGGUGAACUACAUAUCUAAAUUAUCACAAAUUGUGAGCACGUUGAAUAGUAUUUCGCAAGUGAGCUCUGAGUGAACAGAAUUUCAAAACCCAGUGUAACUCACCAAAAAAGACUUACUAAUUACGCUUACUCACGAAGAAUUCUCCAGAACUCUUGGGACCCUUGGUAUUUAUAACGAUUAGAGAACAGCGGCGAUUCGAUAGUUCCCGGAAUAGGAAAUUAGAUUUGCACAUUUGCAGAUUGAGUCACAGACGACCUAUGAACCAGCCAACGACCAGCUCCUUAUCCAUAUGCAAAUAAUGCCAGAAGCGCCGAGAAUGGUUGUUCUUAGUCACUUUCGGGAGAAACUCGAUGAGUGCAUCUGAAGGGCCGCGAUCAACGACCUUCCCGCCGACAGAUUAGGAAUAUAUAUGGUCCGUAAAUAAAUAUGGAAAUGCCCAGAACAAUAAAAAAUCGCCAAAGCCCUCAAAACUUACUGAAAACUAUGACGCACGAACUGGGAAUAUAUCUGUGUACUUUGUGCAGGGCCUGGACUUUUACGAGUUGAUAGUAUUAAUGGAGAUGCGGCGUCGAUAAAAUUGCAAAACAACUGCCCAGAAGGGAAAGUGCCGUGGAAAUUGCGGCUGAAAAAAAAAAUCAUUGGCAAAUACGAGCGGCCAAAUGACGCACAACAACUUUACAAGGUUGUCUGCUGCGGCAAUGUAAAGGGGCGGUGGGUGGGUGGGUGGUGGGAGGCCAAUGUGUACGUCAUCGAGAGCUGAAUGAAAUCGAAAUUGGCUCGAGCCAUUUUACGUCAGAGCCGAAAAAGAAAAAAAUGGAAAGAAAACCAAACGUUUUCCAGCCAUAGCCGCGUUUUCCUCUCAGAUCUUGUUAAUAUUUGUUUGGCCGCGUAUUUGGAUUGCGAUUAUUUAUGCUGCUCGAUGACGUUCGAUUGUAAAAGACUUUGGCCAGCGCCUUAAUUGCGCCAACUGUGCGCCUAAUUAUGGCAGACACUGUGGCAGAGCGCGUUAUAUAGCCGUAUAGCCAUAUAGCUGGCUAAAAGGAAAGAUCCGUCGCGGCAUUUAUAAAUAAAUUGUUGUCUAUACGAAAAUAACUAAACGGAUCAUUAUCGUCAGACAUGUGCGACAGCGUCUGGUCAAUUAAAAGCCAUAAAAUGUCAUAAAGCAUCUGAGAUAUAGGGUGUCUACAAAAUUUUUGGCAAGUUCAAAUUCACAAAGAGUUCUGCAGAGCAAAUCUUGUUUAUUUCAGUAAUUAUUUUAACAUUUUACUGCCUUUAAGUUAUUAAAAGUUUAAUGAUUUGCCAAACGUAUACUUCAUAUUUUUAGGCUUUUAAGUUUAUAAACAUCUUAUUUCAUAUUUAAUUCAAGGUUUUUGAACAAAUGUGGUAAAUAAAUAACACUAUUUUUUUAUUCUUGUAAAACUAGACAAAUUGUUAAAGAAAGCUCAUAGUUAACCAAAGCGUAUACUUGAUAUUUUAAAACCUCUAUUUGGAAUUCAGGAAUGUGUUAUGAGUAAAACCCUAAAUUUAAAUUUAUUGUAAUUCAGGCAGCAAAACUCUAAACAAACUAUAAGUAAUGAAAUUUUAAUUACACAAAUUUAAAUUUCAUAUUUAAUUAAUGUUUAGUUGUGGAUUUCAUUUUUUUACUAAAAGUAACAUUUUUGAAAAGAAAGUAACGUGCUAAUUGGAGGCUUGGCUAACCAUUCCUGCCCUACCAAUUUGUAGUUAAAGUCUUAAUUUCUCUGCCAUUAUAGUUUGGUUCCCACAAAUUAAACGAAAUAUUCGUGUCAAAUCGAAUCGAUCAAUCACGAAUAUGGAAUAUGGAGCAUGUGGUUAAGUGCUUAACUUAAUUUGACCCCAGAAAACUAAAUUAUUUUAAUUCUUGGCUCGUGUUUUUUAAUCUGUAGCCUGAGAUCUUUUGUUUGCGAAUUUGGGUUAUUCGAUUUUUCGAUCAGAUUCGGACGACGAAUGAUAAAUGCGUAACACUCAAACUGGUUCAAUUUUGUGAAUACUUUGAUCUUGUUACCGCUGUUGUUGUUGUUGUUGUUGCCCUGCCACGGGCCGUGCCAAUCUUAAUUGCGCAUUUAAAUAUAAUAGAAAGAUAGAAACUACAAAAAAGAAAAAAAAAACUACAACACAACAAUAACUAUAAACACAGACACAUGGCGACCCGGUUGUCAGUCGGUCGAUGCGAACUUGAGGCUCGAAAAAGGCGCCUCCAAGUACAACAAUAACACUAACAACCAUAUAGAACUGGGUACCCCUGCCCCGAAGCCCCGAAAAAAAAACCCCUUCCGAAAAACUAUUUCGUGUCUGCCCAUCUGUAUCUGUAUCUGUCGGCUCUGUAUUGAAGCUGCGCAUAUUGCGCCUUGGUUAUUUAUUAUGUACUAUAUGGUAUGGACAAUACGCAAAGGGGCUGCGAAGGGGUUUUCGGGGGGCGAAAAACUCUUUUUGCGCACUAGUUUUCCCGCUCACCGAAUCCAAAUUGCCGCGGCGCUUUGGCAACCCUAAUGGGUUUCAAAUUACCCGAACCACACAAAAAAUAUUAAUAAUACUCGUCGUAAUAAUGAAAAACGAUGAUCAAUUAUCGAAUUAAGUGAAUUCAUUUAAAUGCACUCGAUCUCCGCUAACUGGGUUGCUGUAUUGAUUCGAAGAAUAUUAGAUAACAAUUUGAAUAACAGUUUAGUUUAGCAAAAUUCUUUACGUUUAUUCCUUAUUACCAUACAAUUUUUUUAAAAACCGAUAUUCUUUCGUUAAUUUUAUUUUUUUGUAAAAGCUUUUUUAUAAAAUGAUUCAAAAUUGUGUAUUACAAUUUAUGUUACAUUUUUUAAAAAAUUUUGUAAGUGGUUUUCUUUAUUCAAGUUUCCCUGUAAAUGGAUUAAUUCAAAUAACAGUAAAUGCCAGUCUGGCAACGCUCCGCGGAGAGGGAGAGCAAGGGCUAAAUUUAACAGCGAGAGAGUGAGAAUAAGCUCUCUCAUUUUCUCUUCCCCACUCGCUCUCUCACAUUUGCGGUGACGGUUGCGUAUACUUGAUAUUUUUUGGUUUAAGGACACAUGGCUGCGCCGCCGGCGUCGCAGUCGCUCUUCUUGUUUUCCUUUUUUUUAUUUUACUCAUUUUUUUUGUGAGGACUUGCAGUGGAACAGCUGUUUUGUGUUAUGGCAAACAGCUGUUCGUGUUGCACUCACAAGCACUCGCACACAUUUUCCCACACGUAAUAAUAACGAAAUAAAAUAAUUUUUUAAAUAAAUUGCAUUCAAUACUUACAAACAAAGGCCAUUAGACGGUGAUUAUAUAAGCACACUAUGCCGCCAGCCCUGACAGCUAAGUGAGAUGGUGUUGGUGUGUGUUGUUGAGUGUUGGUGUGUGUUUUUUUUUUUUUCGUUCAUUGGUGUUGGUGUGCGUGUGUGCCAGUUUAGUUAAAUGCUGAGCACACGCACUGAAAGACAGCAACUACAACAAUACAACAACAACAGCAACAACAACAAAUAUAACAACAACAAUAAGACUAGGCAGAUAGGCAAGUUUGCCUUUUAGUUGUUUCUGUAGUUUACUUUGUUGUUUUAUUUGUCGACAGCGGUCUGACUGGCUAGCUCUGGUCUGGUCCCCGCCCCCUCGAAGCCCCUCGUAACCCCCUCCCCACCUCCCUACCUAUAUGUCGUAUCUAAAACAUUUGCGCUUUAAAUAAAUACACAGAGGGUAUUAUAAAAAAAGGCAAAAGAAACGAGGCAAACUAGUCGCGUACAACAACAACUACAACGACAAAUUAGUUCAAUGCACGCCGCCAAAAGAGUGUGUAUAUAGGGCUUAUCAACUCUUAGCGGACCCAGACCUUUUUAAUGGGGUAUUUGUUUUGAUUUCUCCAUAAAAGUAUCUUCAAUCUUCUAGGCUCUUUCAUUGAUGUGCGUACAUCAGCCUAGGGCACAAUUUCAUUCAUCAUAUUGCCUUAAUCAUCAUCAGCGUUCGUAGUCUCGUUGUCACUGGUACAAAGUUCAUAUAUAUGUACAUAUAUAGAUGUACAUGCAAUCAAAUAAAAAUUUUUUGAUUGUAUAAGUUCACAGUUUCUUUGUGCGCCAUUUUUUGUUCUUUCUAAAUACAUAUAUACAUACGUAUGUAUAAGCGUUUCGGGUUCUUUAUUUGAAAUUUAUUUGGUGUUUUUUUUUGUAUUUACUUUUCCGCUUCUAAUUUUAAUUAUUCAGUUGCGAGGCUCAAAAGUCGCGAGCGAGUUUGUUUUUAAUUCUUGUUGUUGUCGCGUUUGUUGUUGUUGUUCCCCUAGUUUUGUUUCUCUCGUUUUGUUUUUUUCCUUUUUUCUUUUUUUGGUUUGUUAAAUACGUCGUUUAAGUUGCUCUUGGCUGGCUUGCUUUGUUUUCUUUGCAAC